rnacentral:rRNA from 1 species
CAGCUCAAAUUUGAAAUCUGGCCCUUUCGGGGUCCGAGUUGUAAUUUGUAGAGAGUGCUUCGGGGGAGAUGGCGGUCUAAGUCCAUUGGAACAUGGUGUCAGAGAGGGUGAGAAUCCCGUACGUGACCGCGGAUCGAACCCGUGUGAAGCCUCUUCGACGAGUCGAGUUGUUUGGGAAUGCAGCUCAAAAUGGGUGGUAAAUUUCAUCUAAAGCUAAAUACUGGCUGGAGACCGAUAGCGCACAAGUAGAGUGAUCGAAAGAUGAAAAGCACUUUGGAAAGAGAGUUAAACAGUACGUGAAAUUGUUGAAAGGGAAGCGCUGGCAACCAGACCUGCCCGUGGGCGAUCAACCGCUGUUCUCAGCGGUGCACUCGUUCUGCGAUCAGGCCAGCAUCGGUUUCGGCGGUCGGAUAAAGGCCUUGGGAAUGUAGCUUCCUUUCGGGGGAGUCUUAUAGCCCUGGUGCAAUGCGGCCAGCCGGGACCGAGGACCGCGCUUCGGCUAGGAUGCUGGCGUAAUGGUUGUCAGCGACC